rnacentral:rRNA from 1 species
CCUACGGGGGGCAGCAGUGAGGAAUAUUGGUCAAUGGGCGCGAGCCUGAACCAGCCACGUCGCGUGAGGGAUGAAGGUUCUAUGGAUCGUAAACCUCUUUUAUAAGGGAAUAAAGUGUGGGACGUGUCCUAUUUUGUAUGUACCUUAUGAAUAAGGAACGGCUAACUCCGUGCCAGCAGCCGCGGUAAUACGGAGGAUCCGAGCGUUAUACGGAUUUAUUGGGUUUAAAGGGUGCGUAGGCGGCGUUUUAAGUCAGCGGUGAAAGUCUGUGGCUCAACCAUAGAAUUGCCGUUGAAACUGGGGGGCUUGAGUAUGUUAGAGGCAGGCGGAAUGCGUGGUGUAGCGGUGAAAUGCUUAGAUAUAACGAAGAACACCGAUUGCGAAGGCAGCCUGCCAGGCCAUGACUGACGCUGAUGCACGAAAGCGUGGGGAUCAAACAGGAUUAGAUACCCUUGUAGUC